UUCAUAAGAUACUCUGGCAAACUGUAGCUCUGUGAAAGGAACAGGACCCUCCUAACAACUGUCAUUGCUUUAGAUGUAGCCUUGAUUAUCCAAUAAGUAUCUCCUGCAAUGUACCUUGUUAUACUGCCAAAUACAUAGACUUCCCUCUUCCAUCUCCACUGAAAUCUAAGAUGGCACCCAUAUUCGUAUGAGGACUCUGGGUAAAAAGCAGGUGAGAUAGGAAAGAUAUAUUCAAGAGCACCCUCUGAACUGAUCUCAAAGACUGCAGUAAACGUUUGCUGGUUGCUAAAGCCCAAACUUCGUAAGUAAUUCAUUGGCCAGUAAUUCAUUGGUGGGGUGAUGACUUCCAAUCUCGGGUUUUGCCCUAGCAGAACUUAAACCCUUGCCGAAUGCUUUUGUUGAGUUAGCGCUUUCAUUUGUCGUUGAAACAACUGGUUUUCUAUGGUAUCUCCAAGAUAAUAAUUCACCCUCAUGGUCACUUGGCACAACUAUGGAUGGUAAAUAGUAGAGAAUGGUCGAGGAGACCAUGCUCAGGGUGACUCCUGAUUAGAAUUCGGUUCAAAGCCAAGAACGAAUUGGGCUCACAGUAGAAAUCUUAGAUUACAUUUUUACUAGAGAAGGCCAUAUUGUAGGCUGGGGGUGGGCAUGGGGGUCACUUGAUUUUCCACCAGGUAGCUCAAGUCCCUUAGGCCAUCUGCCACUAUGUGCAAGUCCUUAGCACGGUGCAUUUCUCUCUGUUUGUUCUGGGCAGCGUUCCGGAUUGUUAGGAACAUCGUACCCCUAAUCAGGCAUUUACCGUGAAAGCACAAGGACACAGUAAGUUGCUACCAGACUACUAUGUCAUUAAGCUAUUCUCUUAUUAAGAACUUCAUAAAAUCAGAAGAGCCAAAGGCCCAUCCAGUGCAGCUUCCUGGUCUCAUAUUGGUCAACUUCCUAUAGUAAACCUGCAAGCAGGACUUGAGCUGCCAUAUUUGCAAAAUAUGAAAGUUGCUGAUACCUUUUAGAGUUGCUACUGAAUUUCCCCCAGUAAGAACUUUGGAGCAAAACUGCAGACUCCUCCUCUUGAUGAAACACCUGUUAGGGAUUUGGACAGAAGACAAAACAGUAUGAGGAUUUCUUCUUUAAUUAGCUGUUUCAAGUGCAGAAUAAUCAGAAGCGGAAUGUCAGUCUGGGAUAGCUGUUGGGUCGGAACAAAGUGCACUAACUUCUGUCUUCUGCAUUUGAAACAUACGUAUGGAAAAGCAGUAGGUGCUGGCUCAGCCUAAGAUAGUUAUUCUUCCUGUUAGAUUGUCACAUUUGGUCCUUCUUUAUAUUUUUUUCCCUUGGUCUCUAACAGAAAAAUACUAAUAGAAAUGUAGGAGGAGGUUUUGACUUUAUGGGGUGUACCUAGAUUUGGAAUUAAAAUCUUCUCCCCUAAAGCGCUUGCAGUCUCAUUCAGUUUUGUGUUGCCUUGCAUUUGCACCAUCCAUUUUUAAUGCUUUUCCUCAUCCAUCAUAAAAUGGCCUCUAGGCUCUGUUGUUCCAAGAGAACAGCAGUAUAAUGUCAUCCUGGCAGUAUAUGUGGUCUGAGAAUACAAUCAAUACUUUAGCUUGGAGGCAGGGGGCGGGGAAAUAAAAUAAACAUAUAAAAAUCAUUUCCAGAAACCUUCCUAUGGGAAGACUUAUAGCAAACAGAGACCUGAACUUCAUUGACUCCCGGAUAGCUGCAUAUAGAUUAGAAAUAGCUCCCUGAGUAACAACAAGAAAAUCAGACUCUUCCCCAGCAACUAUCUACCGUCUUAAGCAUUGCUUUUCCUGUUUUUGAUGCUAGUACUUUUGCCCAUUUUUGAACAUUUAUUUCACACUACAGUACCUGUUGCACCAUGAAACUGUAGCUUUAUGUCCAAUUUACCAGCAGGUCAUGCUUAAUUUCAUUCACACUAGUGUGACACAAUGAACAUCAUUGGACACAUCAUUACCUCCCACUGUUUACAUGCAUACAUGUUUCUGUUCCCCCAUGAUUCAUCCAUGAAAACAACAGGAAAAAAUGGUAUGCUGCCCCCAAAAUGGUAUGCUGUCAUUUUAAAUGGGUGAAACUUAAUUUUUGCAAAUUUCUUCAGUGAGGGGUCUUAAAAAUAUGUUUUUGGGUGUGAGGAAUUCAAAUCUGUUAUUAUUUUUGUGGUUGUACAACAUUCAGCUUGGAAGUUUAUGGUUGAUGAAGAAGCACAUAAACUGCUUUCAGUAAAUGAAAGAAUUUUAAUUUUACCCUCUGAAAAUGUCAGGCAAUGCUUAAUAAUAAUAAUAAAAAGUGCAAGUACUUGGCAAUAAUUUUUAAUGAUUUCUAUUCAAUUUUACACACAUUUUACUUAUCAAAUUAAUUUAACAAAAACAUCUUUUGAAUUCCCAAGUCAUGUUACAACUUUGGAGCACCCCUCACUUUGGGAAUUUGAAAGUUGAAAAACUCAACAUGCCCUUGACACACACCAAAUUUUGUCACUUUAUUCCUGCAAUUUUCUGGAUUAAUGGGGUUGCAAAUGGAUUAUUCCUGGAAACAAUUUCAUGGAAAUGAGUGCUAGAUGCCCACUAGAUUCUGCUAUGUUUCCAUGACUGGCUUUCACCUUAUGUGAAAACUCAGAUAUAAUACAGAAAUUAACAGUUAGGGAAACAGAAUAAACCGCUGUAUGAAUGCAGCAUUUAGCUAUGCUGUCUUCUAUAAUCAAGCACUCUAGCUCACCCAUCUUGGCUCAGAGGCUUCUAGCCUAAACACUUAUACAUGCUUUCCUAGAGCACUGAAAACCUGUCAGAUAGAAAACUCAGCUAAAGCUCUCACUGAUGAAUCAAAGCCCUUUUUUGCCAACCACGGUAUGCAGCCACCAUGACAACAGAUGCUACUCAGUAAUUGCUUGCAGUUUUUGUAGUUCAUGGGCCAGGAUCCAAAGAAACAGGAAACUAAUUCCAUGAAUCUUAAGGGUCUACUUUUAUGAAACAGCGGCUUCCCACAACAUGGGGCAAAUUGAUUUUAAAACAAAAGGGGAAAACGUCGAACAAAUUCCACACAGGCUAAUUCAGGAUCUUAUACAAGCUCAAAUUAUGGCUGAAACAUUUGCUCCUAAAAUGUUUCCUAAGAUCUCUCUUGCUGUUGUGUCUGGGUGGGAGAAUAUUCACCAAACUUUCUCUGAAUAUUUGUUGCCUAUGUCUGAAACCCAAUUACCGUCCCCUCCAGAUGACCUGUCUGCUGCGCAUUCAUCCUGAUAUGUUUGCACAUAUUUGCAAGUGGGGCAGGGGGAGUUAUGGCUUUGCCACUGCUUAUUCACCAUUCAUUCUGGUGUUUGCUGGGCGGCUAUAUGACGUCACAUCCAGCAACUGUUAUCCUUUUCCUGUUCAUUUCCCCAACACUUUCCUUGCUGCAAAAAGCACAGGGUUUUUAAAAAGUGUGCUUGAUGUGCAGGAGCAAUAAAUCUACUUUAAUUGCACACCCCAAAUUUGCCGCAUCUGCUUGAAUCCCACCUGCAAAAUAGCAGCAGUUUGUUUGAUAUCUAUUUGUUGACUUCGCAAACUUUAAAAUUGGUUUUGCAAUCAGGUCAUUCUGCUCCGAGGCAACCUCUCCAUUUAAGGCUGCUUAUUCGACACAAAGGCAAGUGUGGCAGGGUGGCACGAUUUUGAUCCAAAAGUCCUUUUUCAAUAUUUACUUGCGUUCUUUAACUUCUAAAGAAUAACUAGUUGUAUGUGACCUUGAAAUGGAUUAGCAAUUUUGUCUCUGAAAGUCGGGCUUCAAGCAGCAACAAUAUGAAAAGAAGCAGACAGCAGUGUGGGUGGGUUACACAACACUGAUUACAAUGUCAUGUCUGGGAGAAGAGUUUUAGCCCAGUCCUCUCUUUGACAGGUUCUCUAUUCUCUUAGGAAUGUAUCUGUGUAGCAUUUUGGGGUAAGGAGCAGCAUCAAACCCUCUAUAGCAGGCAUCAGCAAACUUUUUCAGGCCGGUCCACUGUCCCUCAGACCUUGUGGGGGGCCGGACUAUAUUUUUUUUUGGUGGGGGGGGGGGAAAUGAACGAAUUCCUAUGCCCCACAAAUAACCCAGAGAUGCAUUUUAAAUAAAAGGACACAUUCUACUCAAGUAAAAACAUGCUGAUUCCCGGAUUGAGAAGGCAAUUGGGCCGGAUCCGGCCCCCGGGCCUUAGUUUGCCCAUCCAUGCUCUACAGUCUUAAGUGGUACAGUCUAGUCACAGGCAACCUCACCUACUGAUACCACAUUUGGGUAUCAUUUUGAUUCCCCUAACUGAGGCUCUGAAAGUAGUACAGUAUUGUCCUCACACUUACUCUGUUUUAGCUAAAGAAUCCUUGUUUGUUUUUAAUGCUCAUUUUGUGCCCUGCUCCUCGAUACAAAUACAUUAUCAACUAUCAAUAAAGAUAGAGUACAACACAGCAGCUACUAAUCCAGAUCUUUUAAAAAUGCCGUUUAAAAUUUGCAAUGACAAUUUAUUUAUUUCAGUGGAUCCCAACCUUUUUUGGCCAUGCCCCACCUAAGCAUCUCUAAAAUCCUGAUGCCCCACCCCCGCGUGACAUAUACGGGUAAUUCUUAUUACAGUAGUACCUCUGGUUACGAAUGGAAUCCAUUCUGGAGGUCCCUUCGUAACUGGAAACCGUUCGUAACCUGUGCCCCAUGUUGGGAACCAUGGAUUUAUUUGCUUAAGAAUUUAUAAACCACUUUGCAAAAAUAAACACAUCUAUUUCCCCCUCAUGUUGGAAAGGCUGUAGAGGGAUGGACUCCUUUUUUCAAGCUUGGUAGGGCUGUAAGAUAGUCUAUUCAGUCUGGGAUAAGAUCUUUCAUCUGAUCAUCAAUAUUAUGGAAUAUUAUGCCCAAUUGAGCCCUGGCACUGUUAUCACUAGAUCUAAACUUAAAUGUUAAUCUUAAAUCUAAGGACCUAGUUUGUUUUCUGCUAAUAGUAACAAAACAAACCCUGGUGUUGCAAAGAGAAUGUCAGCAAUGUCUAGGCAACACGAUGACUAUGUACAUAUGCAAUAAACAAUCUUUAUAGAAUUCCUUCAAACCAUAACAAGUACAAAAUGAAAUCUUUAGUUGAGAUUGUUUAUUGAGUAUGUACAUGGUCAUCAUGUUGUGUAGACAUUGCUGAUGUUUUCUGCUAAUGGCGGCUUGCUCAGCAAUUACCCAGCAAUGGGGAAAUACUACUGAAGUCCCAGUUGAAAUCUGGAUAAAUAAUAUUUGAAAGAUACAGCGCUUUCAGAACACCUCACCUGCCAUAAGAAGGUAACCAAAGGUACCUCAGAGAAGGAUAAUUUUGGUGAAAUGGAUUCCCUUUCUUUCUCUUUGAUAAAUGAAAAGGAAAAUACCCUUCGUCCACCCUCCACACAGGAAGGUGUAUGCAGAAGAUAGAAUACUUUACAAUGGAGUCUAACAAUAUUAUCAGAUAAGUAUUGUUUGAAUGCUUUACGAGAUUAUCCUACUGGAAAUAUUUUUUGCUACUAAUACUUUUUUAUUGCAACUGUUAAAAUGACAAUAAAAUUUUAUUUGGGAGGGAGGGAAAUAUCUCGCCUUGGGUGUCUCCUGCUGGGUCCCUGACAAAGGGGGGGGGAGACUCCUAGCAGCCAUUGACUGUUGCUAGGGUAUUAAAUAGGGCCUUCCGGUAAUAAAUUAGAAAGAUAAGACUUGCCCAGCAGGAAGAAAACCACCUUUAUUGACUGAGAGCCACAGCACACAGGAGAGGAGAUUGGUGAAGCCUGUGUAACAAAGAGCGAUUCUUUUCACUCAGAUAACAGCUUCCUACUUGGAUGUUUUCAUGGUGUUCCCUCCACAACCACCCAAUUUGCUUGUGAUUUCACCUGCCUCCGCUUAUGUUUGUCAGGUACUGCUAUGCCGCCUGGGAGGCUGGCAUUUGCAGAAGGAGCGCUGAGAGCAGGAUGUGCAGUGAAUUGUUGACAUUCUGCUGCAAAUGUCCCUUUGCCCACCCCCUCCCCGACACACGCAUCCUGCACAUAAUCAAACUAAUCGCAGACUGGGAGACAAUUCAUGCAGACUUUUUGAGCGCUCUUGCUACAGCUGCCACGUCCUCAGUGAUCAUGUGAGAAGACCUUCUAUAUUCAUUUCGGUUCCACUGUCACUUGCUUUCACAGUCAGCGUUUAAAAUGGAAAGGCCACACUGCAUAUGUUUAGAUACACUCUCCUCGGGCCACAACCCUCAUUAGCCACACUCCCAGGGCACAUCCCACACAAGCGCUCGUCUGGGUAGAACUCAUUCUACUGGGUAGAACCCUGAACUCUCUUAAUAUUACAAAGACAAUAUUUACAUUUCUUGAUACGCCCACUUUUGUCUCUGGCCUCAACCACCACUGGCAUUUGUCCCCCAAAUGUUUCCCAGAUGGAAACGGAACGGGUUCCCCAUCUCUGCUGUAAGCCACUUCAGAACCUUUAUAAUUAAAUUGACACUGACAUGCAACAAUACAUUAUUAGAUUAAACGUCCUGCCAGCUAGUUAGCUGGCUUUACAUAUUCUCGGUAGUAUUGCCCGAUUCCCAAGUGUGGCGAUCACACAGGGUCCCCGGAUGUUUGACGGUCUAUUGACCCUGUGCCACCACUGUGAUUGCUUUCUUCGCUGCCACCAACCCGUGUCUCACGGGUACACACAGAGUCCAGACAGUUGUUAACUUUAACAAAUAAUCAAGUUUAUUUAUAGGCAUGAACAAGCUUAUGGUUUCAGUUAAUCUUUCUUGGCAAUUUCUUAAUCUUAGUUCCAUAACUGUCCUAUGCAUUCCUAACAACUUCAAACUGAUUAUUCCAACUAUCUAUCUGACUCCACCUAACAAUUCCUCUCACUCUCUCACCACACAGCACAACCAACCCACAGACUUAUAUCCUCCCUCUUCCUUCACCAACUCUCAGCUGACUUCCACACAGCUCCACUCUCACUCUAACUCCUUCUAUCAGUUUCUCUCUGGCAAAUCACAUCACACUCAUUAAACCCUUUCCUUAUGACCCACCUAGGAGGCAAACACCACACCAAGCUUGCAAGAAAGACAAUAUUGCAUUGGGCCUGCUAUGGGAAUGUUGAGGGUGGCAGGAGAGGCUAUAUUGUUUAUUAAUAUCCUUCCUAACUUGCGCUAGCAAGUUUCUUCACUUAGCAGAGUGCAUUUCCCUUCUUACACAGCAGAAAGCUGGUUGCAAACUCAUUUGAGUUUCUUAAGACAAUAAGCAAUUCAAUCUGGCUUGUCCAGAUUGAGGUAUGUUCUAAUAUUCCUGAUAAGACCCCUUUGGAAUCCCUCCUAAAUGAAUAAAGACACCACAGUCUUAUUCAUAAGUAACAAAAAGUAGUUUUACUUGUGAUCAGGCAGAGCACAGUGUGAUCCCUGAAGGCAGGCUUUAGGCUUAAAGUUACAAACAUGUACAAACAGGUUUACCCCAUAUGGGAGAUAACUUGGGGAACUGCUGUGGCAGCCAGCAGUACAGUCUAGGUGAUGGAGGGAGCAGACAGGGCGAACAAGAAGGUUGAAAAGAGGAAGGUAGCAGCGUGACUUGGCCUUUUACCAGGUCUGGAAAGGUCACACCCACCUGCUAGUCACAUGCAAGGAAGCAUGCUCCAGGCCAGGAGGAACAGGAAGUUUCGACUGCCUGGACCAAACAUUCCCUUGCAUGUCCAUUCUAGCUAUACAAGGAAUGUUGUACUUGACUGCUCCCAGUGGAUUACAGCCCACACCUGCUUUAGAACCUCAGACAUGGUAUGAAGUCGUAAAUUGCUUCUCCAGAAACUAAAGUAUAAGUUGUUAGAAACAGCAAGCUGAGAAACUUAAUAAGCACUCAGCUGGAGAAGCAGAAACUUCUUCCUUCAUUUACAAAAACAUCACAGGGCUCUUUCAAGAUUUACAGAGGAGGAACCCAGUUCUGAGCAAUAUUUUUAAGAACUGCAUGUAGAUUAAAAGGGUAAAGGUAAAGGUACCCCUGCCCGUACGGACCAGUCUUGACAGACUCUAGGGUUGUGCGCUCAUCUCACUCUAUAGGCCGGGAGCCAGCUCUGUCCGCAGACACUUCCGGGUCACGUGGCCAGCGUGACAAGCUGCAUCUGGUGAGCCAGCGCAGCACACGGAACGCCGUUUACCUUCCCGCUGGUAAGUGGUCCCUAUUUAUCUACUUGCACCCAGGGGUGCUUUCAAACUGCUAGGUUGGCAGGCGCUGGGACCGAACGACGGGAGUGCACCCCGCCGCGGGGAUUCGAACCGCCGACCAUGCGAUCGGCAAGUCCUAGGCGCUGAGGUUUUACCCACAGCGCCACCCGCGUCCCACGCAUGUAGAUUACUCAUGUGUAAUAAAAACAUACAACUGAUUCCCUUUAUGGGCAUUGCCUCCCUCCCACAAAAUAUGCUUUUGCUAACAUGGAAGUGUGAUAAUGGGAAAAAACUACAUCUGCUGAGGUUCUUGUAUUAGAAGAACAAUGCUGUCUUUUAAAAGAUGAUGCAUACCCUAUGUAUUGUAGGAUCUGUUUUACCUAGAUGGCAGGAAACAGUUUCUCCUUUAAGAUGGCGCUUUCCAUUGGCAGUUUUUCAUACUUGCCUUAAUAUUUUUUUCUAACAGAAAACCACUGCUGCCUGAUCAAUCAGCUGCACAUUCUUCAUUGAAUAAAAGUGUUUUAAACAGAUUGACUUUAAUCCAAGACAUACUGACCACUCCUCUUCCCUCAAAGAAAUUGGAAUACAAAUAUUCUCAUGAAUUUGUUGUCUGAGCGCUCAGGAUAUUCGUAUAUUCCAUGAUGUCACAACAACUCAGCCAAUCAGCGACAGAGGCUUUAUACAACAUAGAUAAAUGAGUAGGUGGAAUGGCCACAGAUGGACUCUCUUCUGGGAGGAACAACUAGUCCCAAGCCCACUUAGCCCAAAGUUUCUAUAAGUUUCCCAGAGCAAUGGCCACUGGGAUAAAUUUGAACUUCGCAGACACAGAACUAUGGCUGCUAUCCUAUGCAAAGUUAUUUAGGAGUGAAUCUCACUAAACUGAAGCCCUCUUUGUGUGUUCAGAAGAAAAGGCUUAAAGUGAAGCUCAUCCCAUUGCUCCUGUGCGCUCUGGCUACUUUCCUGACCUUUGCACACUGGGCAGUGCACUGAAGGGGAUUUCAGUUGAGCAAUGUUAGAAUUUGGAACCCAGUGCAAUAAGGUUUACUGACUGAAGGGGCAACAUGGUUAGAAUCUCCCUGGAGAUGUCUGAAUAAAUGCCACAGGGCAGCACCCAUAGAGACUAUCAGGCGUACGGGGUGAGAAUGUCACACUGCGUCCCCUACCUAUAUUCAGCCCUCAUGCGAUAUUUUGAAUGCUGGAAGAGAGCUUUAGUGGGACUUGCUGCUGAGUUAACCAAUGUAGGAUUGGGUGGCUGGUCAAUUUAUUUUCUCUCUGUUUCACAGUAAUGAUUUUAAAAAUGUAUUAUUUAUACCCUGCCCAUCUGGCUGGGUUUUCCCAGCUACUCUGGGUGGUUUCCAGCACAUAUAAAAGCAUAAUAAAACAUCAAAAAUUAAAAAUUUCCCAAUACUUCUCAUUCUUCCAGUGUUAGAUUCAGCUCUCCACAUUUCUGCAUCCAUUUGCAUUAAAAAAAUCCUCAUCAAUAUUCUUCAGCAUUUUAGUGUGAAUUUCUCCCGAUAAACACAUUUUCAGAUGCAGUUUUGAUUAAUGUACACAUUUUUGUAACCAAUUUUUCUUAUGAUAACUCAUUUUAGUAUCCUACAUUCAUUUUAGGCACAUUUUCUAGAAUAUAUGCAUUUUUGUAAACAUUGUUGGUUGGAGAACGACACUGCAAGUGUGAAUUUUGAAGGAUGGGUUUGGUUUGGUUCUCAUAUUGUUUCAGAAAGUGCAAGUUUGACAGAUUCAGUUUCAAAUGCAAACUGAAUUGGAUCUCUUCCCCUACCCUUAGUGAUUAAUAAAGCAUGGAUGUUCCAAUUCUUUCCAAUUCUGUGCCUCUAGUAGGAGUACUAAUGCUAAAAGGAAAGCAAUUACUAAAAUAUAAAAGUUUAAAAAAAGGAAAAUGAAAUACAGUGGUACCUCGGGUUAAGUACUUAAUUCAUUCCAGAGGUCUGUUCUUAACCUGAAACUGUUCUUAACCUGAAGCACCACUUUAGCUAAUAGGGCCUCCUGCUGCCGCUGCACGAUUUCUGUUCUCAUCCUGAAGCAAAGUUCUUAACCCGAGGUACUAUUUCUGGGUUAGCGGAGUCUGUAACCUGAAGCGUAUGGAACCUGAAGCGUAUGGAACCCGAGGUACCACUGUACACUGGUGUAUAUCUCAUCCGACAUACAAUGUAUGGCCUAUUAUCAGAAAAAUUAACAGAAAGAUUACAUGCAUUGAAUAAAAGAAAUGAUGUAGACAAUUUUGUUGAAAUUUGGCAUCCUUUUAUAAAAUAGUUUACUGAUAAUCCUGAAGAAUGGCAACUACUGAAAUCACAGACUAGACUUUAGCAAACUUAACUAGAUGGAUCUGUCCUGGAGUGAAAAGUAGGGGGCGAAUUGGGAUUUCAGUUUUGUAUCCUUUUCUCUCUUUUGUGAAGGAAAAUCAAUAAAACUAUAUAUUAAAGAGAGAGAGAGAAUAUUCUAAAGCAUGCCCCUCGAAAUGAUUAUUUUAAUCCAUGCAGGAUUGCAACAAGCAAAGCUGGGGCUGGUAUUCCUUUUGUAUUAAUGACACUGAAAGAAAAUUAUGUCCUUGUAAGCAUUGUUUUCACUUCUCUGUCCCUGACCAUUGCAAAAUAAUGUGGUGGCUCUCAGGAAUACGCUUUUUUAAAGUACUUGCUUUGUCUGUGUCUUUUCUUUCUUUCUUUUUAAUCUACAGUGUUCCAGUUUUGAAGGACACUUUUUUCAGACACCUCAUACCUCUUAACAGUUUCUGUACAUUCCCACAAUAAUCAUGUUUUUCUUCCUUCCUUUAAAAACAAAACACCGUUUUACAUGCGUAAUGUACAUCCUCCGGCACGUACUACUAGUCAAAAUGUGGUCAGGAUGUGCAUCUUAUACGUGAAUCUAGAGAGUGCCAAAGCAAGAUAAUUCCAAGGGCAUUUCGGUCCCUAAUCAAUGUGCGGCAGAACUGAGACGAAGGAAUGUUUCUGUUUUUCUAUCUUCACCUUGCAAUGGAUAAGAGAAUUUUACUGCAAAGCUUUAUUGGGUCAAUUAACCCUUUGGAAACCACGCAGCAGAUUACUUUUUUUCUAACACUGUUUUUAAAAGGGUUGCUCAUUUGCAGUACAGUUACACAAGGGAUGGAGAAUUUGCGGCCCGGCAGAU